rnacentral:rRNA from 1 species
GACGGAGGGGGCAAGCGUUGUCCGGACUCACUGGGCGUAAAGGGUGCGCAGGCGGUUCUGUGCGUCGGCGCUGAAAGUGCCCGGCUCAACCGGGUGAGGCGCGCCGAUACGAUGGAACUUGAGGCUCGGAGAGGGUGGUGGAACUCCUGGUGUAGUGGUGAAAUGCGUAGAGAUCAGGCGGAACACCCGUGGCGAAGGCGGCCAGCUGGGUCGUCCCUGACGCUGAGGCGCGAAGGCGUGGGGAGCGAACGGG